rnacentral:rRNA from 1 species
UGAGGAAUAUUGGUCAAUGGGCGAGAGCCUGAACCAGCCAAGUAGCGUGCAGGAUGACGGCCCUAUGGGUUGUAAACUGCUUUUAUAUGGGAAUAAAGUGAGGGACGUGUCCCUUAUUGCAUGUACCAUACGAAUAAGGACCGGCUAAUUCCGUGCCAGCAGCCGCGGUAAUACGGAAGGUCCAGGCGUUAUCCGGAUUUAUUGGGUUUAAAGGGAGCGUAGGCUGUUUGUUAAGCGUGUUGUGAAAUGUAGGAGCUCAACCUUUAGAUUGCAGCGCGAACUGGCAGACUUGAGUGCGCACAACGUAGGCGGAAUUCAUGGUGUAGCGGUGAAAUGCUUAGAUAUCAUGACGAACUCCGAUUGCGAAGGCAGCUUACGGGAGCGCAACUGACGCUAAAGCUCGAAGGUGCGGGUAUCGAACAGG